CCUACGGGAGGCAGCAGUGGGGAAUAUUGGACAAUGGGGGGAACCCUGAUCCAGCGACGCCGCGUGAGUGAAUAAGUAUCUCGGUAUGUAAAGCUCUAUCAGCAGGGAAGAAAGAAAUGACGGUACCUGACUAAGAAGCCCCGGCUAACUACGUGCCAGCAGCCGCGGUAAUACGUAGGGGGCAAGCGUUAUUCGGAUUUACUGGGUGUAAGGGGAGCGUAGACGGCGAUGCAAGUCUGAAGUGAAAGGCGGGGGCCCAACCUCCGGACUGCUUUGGAAACUGUAUGGCUGGAGUGCAGGAGAGGUAAGUGGAAUUCCUAGUGUAGCAGUGAAAUGCGUAGAUAUUAGGAGGAACACCAGUGGCGAAGGCGGCUUACUGGACUGUAACUGACGUUGAGGCUCGAAGGCGUGGGGAGCAAACAGGAUUAGAUACCCGUGUAGUC
rnacentral:rRNA from 1 species